rnacentral:rRNA from 1 species
AUUGAACGCUGGCGGCAGGCCUAACACAUGCAAGUCGAACGAGUGGCGGACGGGUGAGUAAUGUCUGGGAAACUGCCUGAUGGAGGGGGAUAACUACUGGAAACGGUAGCCAAUACCGCAUACCAUCGGAGGUGCCCAGAUGGGAUUAGCUAGUAGGCGGGGUAGAGGCUCACCUAGGCGACGAUCCCUCGCUGGUCUGAGAGGAUGACCAGCCACACUGGAACUGAGACACGGUCCAGACUCUGACGGGAGGCAGCAGUGGGGAACAUUGGCAAAUGGGGGCAAGCCUGAUGCAGCCAUGCCGGGUGUAUGAAGAAGGCCUUCGGGUUGUAAAGUACUUUCAUCGGGGAGGCGUUACCCGCAGAAGAAGCACCGGCUAACUCCGUGCCAGCAGCCGCGGUAAUAC